UUUGAGGCGGACUCACUACAGUGAAUUUUGCAAAGGACACAGAGCUUGAAUCGAAGGGCAGUUGUCAGAACUUAGGCUCAGCCCAAGUGACCUUUUGUAUUUCUACAGCUCAUUUCCUUCUCAUCCACUUCAUACCUACAAGUAUCAUUUCCUCCGUGAUCGCCUUGACAGUAGGAAGGAGAGGGAGGGCAACCAGAAAAUUUAUCCAGGAAGGACAGUCAAGAGCACUAGUAGGAGAGAGAAAAAUCCACCUAUGCAGCGAAAGAGGUGCAGGGCUACAACGGGAUAUACUCUGAAGACAACAUAUUUUGUGUGGAAAUGUACAGUAAGGAGCAAAAGAAAUUGCAUUUUCAAUGGCUGGUGCUUGUUGUUUCAUCUGCUUGUUUCAUCUCCUUUCAUUUAAACAGCACCAAGGGUCCAAAAUUGACUGCUUUCAUUCUCUGUCUGCAAGUACCUUGGUAACUCAUAAGCGUUUUUAAAGAAUGGCCGUUUAGAGCUGAAAUGAAAUACAAAAUGCAAACCCUGGAAUGGUUCUUUGGCAGCCGCUUUGCAGAUGAUACAUACCUUGAACUAUUUCCAAAAACUGUCCGCCGCAGUGAUGCAGUGUGAAGUCACAGAGAAGAAGGAGAGAAAUUCCUUCUCUCGCAUCCCUGCAUCAUCUCCCCCACCUUAAAAAAAAAAAAAAAUUGGAACAAACAAGAAGCAAUUUAUCAAGGCCGAGAGAAGCAAAGAAAGAGAGCAGAAUCCCAGAGAAUAUUAACCUAAUUAGCAACUUCAUUAAAACCCAGGCUUGAACUUA